UCUGUUAGAAUCUGCAACCUGAAACAGAACCAACUUGGUAAACCAAGUCAGUUGACUAAGAGCUCUCUGUCUGCAAUUUGAACCAAAGCACUACAAGACAGAUUAACGGCUAGAACUCAUCCUCACUUGUUUCCAACGGACAUAAAACUGCCAAACUGCCAUCAGAGUUGCAUCUCCAAGUAUAAAAGGGUCUUCCAACAAUUAGAAACAAGUUUUUU
rnacentral:lncRNA from 1 species